rnacentral:rRNA from 1 species
UACGGGGGGGGCAAGCGUUGUUCGGAAUUACUGGGCGUAGAGGGCUUGUAGGUGGCCAACUAAGUCAGACGUGAAAUCCCUCGGCUUAACCGGGGAACUGCGUCUGAUACUGGAUGGCUGGAGUGUGGGAGAGGGAUGCGGAAUUCCAGGUGUAGCGGUGAAAUGCGUAGAUAUGCGGAGGAACACCGAUGGCGAAGGCAAUCCCCUGGACCUGUACUGACGCUCAUGCACGAAAGCGUGGGGAGCAAACAGG